rnacentral:rRNA from 1 species
UAUGGCUCAGAUUGAACGCUGGCGGCAGGCCUAACACAUGCAAGUCGUAACAAGGUAACCGGAAGCAGCUUGCUGCUUCGCUGACGAGUGGCGGACGGGUGAGUAAUGUCUGGGAAGCUGCCUGAUGGAGGGGGAUAACUACUGGAAACGGUAGCUAAUACCGCAUAAUGUCGCAAGACCAAAGAGGGGGACCUUCGGGCCUCUUGCCAUCGGAUGUGCCCAGAUGGGAUUAGCUUGUUGGUGGGGUAACGGCUCACCAAGGCGACGAUCCCUAGCUGGUCUGAGAGGAUGACCAGCCACACUGGAACUGAGACACGGUCCAGACUCCUACGGGAGGCAGCAGUGGGGAAUAUUGCACAAUGGGCGCAAGCCUGAUGCAGCCAUGCCGCGUGUAUGAAGAAGGCCUUCGGGUUGUAAAGACUUUUCAGCGGGGAGGAAGGGAGUAAAGUUAAUACCUUUGCUCAUUGACGUUACCCGCAGAAGAAGCACCGGCUAACUCCGUGCCAGCAGCCGCGGUAAUACGGAGGGUGCAAGCGUUAAUCGGAAUUACUGGGCGUAAAGCGCACGCAGGCGGUUUGUUAAGUCAGAUGUGAAACCCCCGGGCUCAACCUGGGAACUGCAUCUGAUACUGGCAAGCUUGAGUCUCGUAGAGGGGGGUAGAAUUCCAGGUGUAGCGGUGAAAUGCGUAGAGAUCUGGAGGAAUACCCGUGGCGAAGGCGGCCCCCUGGACGAAGACUGACGCUCAGGUGCGAAAGCGUGGGGAGCAAACAGGAUUAGAUACCCUGGUAGUCCACGCCCGUAAACGAUGUCGACUUGGAAGUUGUGCCCUUGAGGCGUGGCUUCCGGAGCUAACGCGUUAAGUCGACCGCCUGGGGAGUACGGCCGCAAGGUUAAAACUCAAAUGAAUUGACGGGGGCCCGCACAAGCGGUGGAGCAUGUGGUUUAAUUCGAUGCAACGCGAAGAACCUUACCUGGUCUUGACAUCCACGGAAGUUUUCAGAGAUGAGAAUGUGCCUUCGGGAACCGUGAGACAGGUGCUGCAUGGCGGUCGUCAGCUCGUGUUGUGAAAUGUUGGGUUAAGUCCCGCAACGAGCGCAACCCUUAUCCUUUGUUGCCAGCGGUCCGGCCGGGAACUCAAAGGAGACUGCCAGUGAUAAACUGGAGGAAGGUGGGGAUGACGUCAAGUCAUCAUGGCCCUUACGACCAGGGCUACACACGUGCUACAAUGGCGCAUACAAAGAGAAGCGACCUCGCGAGAGCAAGCGGACCUCAUAAAGUGCGUCGUAGUCCGGAUUGGAGUCUGCAACUCGACUCCAUGAAGUCGGAAUCGCUAGUAAUCGUGGAUCAGAAUGCCACGGUGAAUACGUUCCCGGGCCUUGUACACACCGCCCGUCACACCAUGGGAGUGGGUUGCAAAAGAAGUAGGUAGCUUAA